rnacentral:rRNA from 1 species
AACUGAUUGAACGUGCUUGCACGGACUUGACGUUGGUUACCAGCGAGUGGCGGACGGGUGAGUAACACGUAGGUAACCUGCCCCAAAGCGGGGGAUAACAUUUGGAAACAGAUGCUAAUACCGCAUAACAAUUUGAAUCGCAUGAUUCAAAUUUAAAAGAUGGCUUCGGCUAUCACUUUGGGAUGGACCUGCGGCGCAUUAGCUUGUUGGUAGGGUAACGGCCUACCAAGGCUGUGAUGCGUAGCCGAGUUGAGAGACUGAUCGGCCACAAUGGAACUGAGACACGGUCCAUACUCCUACGGGAGGCAGCAGUAGGGAAUCUUCCACAAUGGGCGCAAGCCUGAUGGAGCAACACCGCGUGAGUGAAGAAGGGUUUCGGCUCGUAAAGCUCUGUUGUUAGAGAAGAACGUGCGUGAGAGUAACUGUUCACGCAGUGACGGUAUCUAACCAGAAAGUCACGGCUAACUACGUGCCAGCAGCCGCGGUAAUACGUAGGUGGCAAGCGUUAUCCGGAUUUAUUGGGCGUAAAGCGAGCGCAGGCGGUUUGAUAAGUCUGAUGUGAAAGCCUUUGGCUUAACCAAAGAAGUGCAUCGGAAACUGUCAGACUUGAGUGCAGAAGAGGACAGUGGAACUCCAUGUGUAGCGGUGGAAUGCGUAGAUAUAUGGAAGAACACCAGUGGCGAAGGCGGCUGUCUGGUCUGCAACUGACGCUGAGGCUCGAAAGCAUGGGUAGCGAACAGGAUUAGAUACCCUGGUAGUCCAUGCCGUAAACGAUGAGUGCUAGGUGUUGGAGGGUUUCCGCCCUUCAGUGCCGCAGCUAACGCAUUAAGCACUCCGCCUGGGGAGUACGACCGCAAGGUUGAAACUCAAAGGAAUUGACGGGGGCCCGCACAAGCGGUGGAGCAUGUGGUUUAAUUCGAAGCUACGCGAAGAACCUUACCAGGUCUUGACAUCUUGCGCCAACCCUAGAAGAAUAGGGCGUUUCCCUUCGGGAACGCAAUGGACAG